UAGCGAUUUCAAAUCAUAACAUAUGGAAUAAUAACAAGAAAAACAUCAAAUAAUUCAUAAUUGUACCUGGUUUUGCUUCCGGAAUAGAGUGUAAAAUCCCAAAAAAGACGCAACCAAAUGGAAAACCCUUGGAUUAAAAGAGAAUCAGUAGUUUGGCGAGAGAGAGAGAGAGAGAUGUAAAACCUGUCGGGUAGAGGAAGAAAGGUUUCGUUUUUUUUUCCACAAUAGAAGAAAUAAAUUCGAAAGAGACAAAGGAUGAAGGUAAAUCUUCUGAAAAUCUGCGGAUUUCCACGUGGCGCUAUAGAUACCGUAGAUUUGAAAAGUAGGCGAUGUAGACGUAGCCAGAUGGAAGAUAAACGGAGGAAAGAAAAUAAAUGCAGAGUAGGAGAGCAACCGGCUUGGUACCGGAAUAGAAG
rnacentral:lncRNA from 1 species